rnacentral:ncRNA from 1 species
CUCAAUUAUCAAGAAUUCUACUUAAUAAGUAGAAUAGCAACCUGCAACAACAAGCAAGGUGCUGCAAUCGAUAAGCCAGAAAUGGAAAAAAUGUUGUUUAC